AUGCUAUAGGAGGCUGCCGGACUCAAAAUCCGGUUCCGAAAGGAGUGCCGGUUCGAUUCCGGC
rnacentral:tRNA from 1 species